rnacentral:tRNA from 1 species
GCGGAUGUGGCGUAAUUGGUAGCCGCGCUAGACUUAGGAUCUAGUGGUCCUGGACCGUGGGGGUUCGAGUCCCUUCAUCCGCA